GCCAAGCGCGGUGGCGCAUGCCUGUAAUCCCAGUGGCUCGGGAAGCUGAGGCAGGAGGAUCGCGAGUUCAAAGCCAGCCUCAGCAAAAGUAAGGAGCUAAGCAAUUUAGUGAGACCCUGUCUCUA
rnacentral:sRNA from 1 species